rnacentral:rRNA from 1 species
GAUGAACGCUGGCGGCGUGCUUAACACAUGCAAGUCGAACGAGAGAUACAGGAGGAAGUUUUCGGACGGAAUCCGGUAGAUCGAGUGGCGGACGGGUGAGUAACGCGUGGGGAACCUGCCUCAUACAGGGGGAUAACAGUUGGAAACGACUGUUAAUACCGCAUAAGACCACAGAGUCGCAUGACUCAGGGGUAAAAACUCCGGUGGUAUGAGAUGGACCCGCGUUCGAUUAGCCAGUUGGCGGGGUAACGGCCCACCAAAGCGACGAUCGAUAGCCGAUUUGAGAGAAUGACCGGCCACAUUGGGACUGAGACACGGCCCAA